rnacentral:tRNA from 1 species
GCCUAGGUGGCUAACUGGAUUAAGCAUCUGACUUCAGCUCAGGUCAUGAUCUUGCGGUCUGUGAGUUCGAGCCUCGCGUCAGGCU